GGUUGCAAUUAUACCAGCACUAAUGCACCGGAUUCCAUCAGAACUCCACAGUUAAGCGUGCUUGGGCGAGAGUAGUACUAGGAUGGGUGACCUCCUGGGAAGUCCUCGUGUUGCAUACC
rnacentral:rRNA from 1 species